rnacentral:rRNA from 1 species
GUAACUCCGGUCAUGUAGAGGAGGUAAUACGGAGGAUCCAGUGGUGUGCCGGAAUUACUGGGCGUAAAGAGUUAGGGAGGUGGCAGAGUAAGUUGAUGUGGAAAGAGUCCGGCGCAACCGGAUAUCAAUUAUCAAAACUGGUCAGAUAGAGGACUAGAGAGGUUAUUGGAAUUCCUAGUGUAGGGGUAAAAUCCGUUGAUAUUAGGAGGAACACCGAGGGCGUAGGCAGAUAACUGGCUCGUUCCUGACACUAAGGCACGAAAGCGUGGGUAGCAAACAGGAUUAGAUACCCCGGUAGUC